UACAGAGGUCCCGAGCGUUGUUCGGAUUCACUGGGCGUAAAGGGUGCGUAGGUGGCUGGGAAAGUUUGAUGUGAAAGCUCAGGGCUUAACCCUGAAAUGGCAUUGAAUACUGCCUGGCUGGAGGUUUGGAGGGGGACUGGAAUUCUUGGUGUAGCAGUGAAAUGCGUAGAUAUCAAGAGGAACACCAGUGGCGAAGGCGAGUCCCUGGACAACACCUGACACUGAGGCACGAAAGCCGGGGAGCAAACAGG
rnacentral:rRNA from 1 species